rnacentral:rRNA from 1 species
UACGAAGGGGGCUAGCGUUGCUCGGAAUCACUGGGCGUAAAGGGUGCGUAGGCGGGUCUUUAAGUCAGGGGUGAAAUCCUGGAGCUCAACUCCAGAACUGCCUUUGAUACUGAGAAGCUUGAGUCCGGGAGAGGUGAGUGGAACUGCGAGUGUAGAGGUGAAAUUCGUAGAUAUUCGCAAGAACACCAGUGGCGAAGGCGGCUCACUGGCCCGAUACUGACGCUGAGGUGCGAAAGCGUGGGGAGCAAACAGG